GCUCAAGAGAGAGAUAGAGAGCGUCGAAGAAACAAAGGCUUGUGGUAUCCUGAUGUUUACUUUCUAAGACAAAUCCGAUGGUAUGAAAUGGAGACUAAUGGGAUUAUUGUACCUGCGGAAAUGGAAACUGAACCUAUUCAAGCUAUCCCUCCGUCAAAAGAAAAUGUCUCUACUUCAGCUUUCUAUCCUCAAGUAAGGAAUGAGCUUAAACCCUUCAAGGGUUAGCAAUUUAAAACAUGGGAAGAGGCACAUGUUAAAAUAGUGGUAUAUAAUCAAUAUA
rnacentral:lncRNA from 1 species